rnacentral:rRNA from 1 species
AGAGUUUGAUCCUGGCUCAGAACGAACGCUGGCGGCAGGCCUAACACAUGCAAGUCGAGCGCCCCGCAAGGGGAGCGGCGGACGGGUGAGUAACGCGUGGGAACGUGCCCUUUGCUACGGAAUAGCCUCGGGAAACUGGGAGUAAUACCGUAUAAGCCCUACGGGGGAAAGAUUUAUCGGCAAAGGAUCGGCCCGCGUUGGAUUAGGUAGUUGGUGGGGUAAUGGCCUACCAAGCCGACGAUCCAUAGCUGGUUUGAGAGGAUGAUCAGCCACACUGGGACUGAGACACGGCCCAGACUCCUACGGGAGGCAGCAGUGGGGAAUCUUAGACAAUGGGCGCAAGCCUGAUCUAGCCAUGCCGCGUGAGCGAUGAAGGCCUUAGGGUUGUAAAGCUCUUUCGUGGGGGAAGAUAAUGACUGUACCCCAAGAAGAAGCCCCGGCUAACUCCGUGCCAGCAGCCGCGGUAAUACGGAGGGGGCUAGCGUUGUUCGGAAUUACUGGGCGUAAAGCGCACGUAGGCGGACUGGAAAGUCAGAGGUGAAAUCCCAGAGCUCAACUUUGGAACUGCCUUUGAAACUCCCAGUCUUGAGGUCGAGAGAGGUGAGUGGAAUUC